UACGGAGGGUGCAAGCGUUGCUCGGAAUUAUUGGGCGUAAAGGGCAGGUAGGUGGUCUCGUUUGUCUGGGGUGAAAGCCUUGAGCUUAACUCAAGAAGUGCCCCAGAAACGGCGAGACUAGAGUACUGGAGAGGGUCGUGGAAUUCCCGGUGUAGCGGUGAAAUGCGUAGAGAUCGGGAGGAACACCAGCGGCGAAGGCGGCGACCUGGACAGUUACUGACACUCAACUGCGAAAAGCGUGGGGGAGCAAACAGG
rnacentral:rRNA from 1 species